rnacentral:rRNA from 1 species
GACGAACGCUGGCGGCGCGCCUAACACAUGCAAGUCGAACGAGAGAGAGGGAGCUUGCUUCCUCAAUCGAGUGGCGAACGGGUGAGUAACGCGUGAGGAACCUGCCUCAAAGAGGGGGACAACAGUUGGAAACGACUGCUAAUACCGCAUAAGCCCACGGCUCGGCAUCGAGCAGAGGGAAAAGGAGCAAUCCGCUUUGAGAUGGCCUCGCGUCCGAUUAGCUAGUUGGUGAGGUAACGGCCCACCAAGGCAACGAUCGGUAGCCGGACUGAGAGGUUGAACGGCCACAUUGGGACUGAGACACGGCCCAGACUCCUACGGGAGGCAGCAGUGGGGAAUAUUGCACAAUGGGGGAAACCCUGAUGCAGCGACGCCGCGUGGAGGAAGAAGGUCUUCGGAUUGUAAACUCCUGUUGUUGAGGAAGAUAAUGACGGUACUC